ACGGCGAGUGAAGCGGGAAAAGCUCAAAUUUGUAAUCUGGCGCCUUCGGCGUCCGAGUUGUAAUCUCGAGAAGUAUUUUCCGCGCUGGACCGCACAUAAGUCUGUUGGAAUACAGCGUCAUAGUGGUGAGAACCCCGUAUAUGGUGCGGAUGCCCAGUGCUUUGUGAUAUACUUUCGAAGAGUCGAGUUGUUUGGGAAUGCAGCUCAAAUUGGGUGGUAAAUUCCAUCUAAAGCUAAAUAUUGGCGAGAGACCGAUAGCGAACAAGUACCGUGAGGGAAAGAUGAAAAGCACUUUGGAAAGAGAGUUAACAGUACGUGAAAUUGUUGGAAGGGAAACGCUUGAAGUCAGACUUGCAUUUUGGAGUUCAGCCGCAAGGUGUAUUCUUCAAUUCGCAGGCCAGCAUCAGUUUUUGGGGGUGGAAAAUCGCGGUUUGAAGGUAGCAGUCUCGGCUGUGUUAUAGCUUUCCGCUGGAUUCACUUUUGGGGACUGAGGAACGCAGUACGCUUUUUGCAAGACUUUCGAGUC
rnacentral:rRNA from 1 species